rnacentral:rRNA from 1 species
AUUGAACGCUGGCGGCAGGCCUAACACAUGCAAGUCGAGCGGAUGAAGGGAGCUUGCUCCUGGAUUCAGCGGCGGACGGGUGAGUAAUGCCUAGGAAUCUGCCUGGUAGUGGGGGAUAACGUCCGGAAACGGGCGCUAAUACCGCAUACGUCCUGAGGGAGAAAGUGGGGGAUCUUCGGACCUCACGCUAUCAGAUGAGCCUAGGUCGGAUUAGCUAGUUGGUGGGGUAAAGGCCUACCAAGGCGACGAUCCGUAACUGGUCUGAGAGGAUGAUCAGUCACACUGGAACUGAGACACGGUCCAGACUCCUACGGGAGGCAGCAGUGGGGAAUAUUGGACAAUGGGCGAAAGCCUGAUCCAGCCAUGCCGCGUGUGUGAAGAAGGUCUUCGGAUUGUAAAGCACUUUAAGUUGGGAGGAAGGGCAGUAAGUUAAUACCUCGCUGUUUUGACGUUACCAAAAGAAUAAGCACCGGCUAACUUCGUG